UACCAGCACCCCGAGUGGUCGGGACGAUUAUUGGGCCUAAAGCAUCCGUAGCCGGUUCUACAAGUCUUCCGUUAAAUCCACCUGCUUAACAGAUGGGCUGCGGAGGAUACUAUGGAGCUAGGAGGCGGGAGAGGCAAGCGGUACUUAGUGGGUAGGGGUAAAAUCCGUUGAUCCAUUGAAGACCACCAGUGGCGAAGGCGGCUUGUCAGAACGCACUCGACGGUGAGGGAUGAAAGCUGGGGGAGCAAACCGG
rnacentral:rRNA from 1 species